CCAUGACAAAACAAGUCCACCGUGGGCUUUGAGACGCUUUCCUUGAUAAAAUUUAAGCGUUUUAUAAGAGGAUGCCGGGGAAGGUUUUCCGGUUUAUCCCGGAGGGCUUGUAGCUCAGUUGGUUAAGCGCGCGCUUGAUAAGCGUGAGGUCGGAGGCCCAAGCCCCUCCCAGGCCCACAGCUUCCUCACUUUUU
rnacentral:tRNA from 1 species